UGCAGUCGAGGGGUAGAUGUCUUCGGACAUCGAGACCGGCGCACGGGUGCGUAACGCGUAUGCAACCUGCCUUCCACAAAGGGAUAGCCCAGAGAAAUUUGGAUUAAUACCUUAUAGUAUAUCGACCCGGCAUCGGGAUGGUAUUAAAGAUUUAUCGGUGGAAGAUGGGCAUGCGUCCCAUUAGCUUGUUGGUAAGGUAACGGCUUACCAAGGCAAUGAUGGGUAGGGGUCCUGAGAGGGAGAUCCCCCACACUGGUACUGAGACACGGACCAGACUCCUACGGGAGGCAGCAGUGAGGAAUAUUGGACAAUGGGCGCAAGCCUGAUCCAGCCAUGCCGCGUGCAGGAUGACGGUCCUAUGGAUUGUAAACUGCUUUUAUACGGGAAGAAACCCUGGCUCGUGAGCCAGACUGACGGUACCGUAGGAAUAAGGAUCGGCUAACUCCGUGCCAGCAGCCGCGGUAAUACGGAGGAUCCAAGCGUUAUCCGGAAUCAUUGGGUUUAAAGGGUCCGUAGGCGGCCCCGUAAGUCAGUGGUGAAAUCUCCCGGCUCAACCGGGAAAUUGCCAUUGAUACUGCAGGGCUUGAAUUAUUGGGAAGUAACUAGAAUAUGUAGUGUAGCGGUGAAAUGCUUAGAUAUUACAUGGAAUACCGAUUGCGAAGGCAGGUUACUAUCAAUACAUUGACGCUGAUGGACGAAAGCGUGGGUAGCGAACAGGAUUAGAUACCCUGGUAGUCCACGCCGUAAACGAUGGAUACUAGCUGUUCGGGGCAACCUGAGUGGCUAAGCGAAAGUGAUAAGUAUCCCACCUGGGGAGUACGUUCGCAAGAAUGAAACUCAAAGGAAUUGACGGGGGCCCGCACAAGCGGUGGAGCAUGUGGUUUAAUUCGAUGAUACGCGAGGAACCUUACCAGG
rnacentral:rRNA from 1 species